rnacentral:rRNA from 1 species
AUUGAACGCUGGCGGCAGGCUUAACACAUGCAAGUCGAGCGGUAACAGGGGUAGCUUGCUACCCGCUGACGAGCGGCGGACGGGUGAGUAAUGCCUAAGAAUCUGCCUAGUAGUGGGGGAUAGCCCGGGGAAACCCGGAUUAAUACCGCAUACGCCCUACGGGGGAAAGCGGGGGAUCUUCGGACCUCGCGCUAUUAGAUGAGCUUAGGUCGGAUUAGCUUGUUGGUGAGGUAAUGGCUCACCAAGGCGACGAUCCGUAGCUGGUCUGAGAGGAUGAUCAGCCACACUGGGACUGAGACACGGCCCAGACUCCUACGGGAGGCAGCAGUAGGGAAUAUUGGACAAUGGGCGAAAGCCUGAUCCAGCCAUGCCGCGUGUGUGAAGAAGGCUCUAGGGUUGUAAAGCACUUUAAGCAGGGAAGAUAGUGCGUUGGAUUAAUACUCCUACGUAUGGACGGUACCUGCAGAAUAAGCACCGGCUAACUCCGUGCCAGCAGCCGCGGUAAUACGGAGGGUGCAAGCGUUAAUCGGAUUUACUGGGCGUAAAGCGUGCGUAGGUGGUUUGUUAAGUCAGUUGUGAAAUCCCAGGGCUCAACCUUGGAAUUGCAUCUGAUACUGGCAGACUAGAGAUCGGUAGAGGUUAGUGGAAUUCCAGGUGUAGCGGUGAUAUGCGUAGAUAUCUGGAGGAACAUCGAUGGCGAAGGCAACUGACUGGGCCUGAUCUGACACUGAGGUACGAAAGCGUGGGGAGCA